CAAAUAUAUUCCUUUAUAAAAUGGCACACUUCUUAAGUGAGUCAUCAAUUCAAGAAUCAAGAUACGUUACACUUACAGAGUCAUCACAAAAUUUUGAUGAAAAAAACGGAAUUUAUUUUCAUAAGAGAAGGUACAUAAAUGAAUAUAUAAAUUUUAAUUUCAAUGACAAAAAUAUAAUUAUUAUGAGAAAAUAUACAUAACAGAAAUAUGAACCUAUGACCCCUCUGUUUCAAAUAUUACAGCCAACUCUUGCUGAAGAUGCCUCCCUAAUGCAUUGGCAUCCAUUCUUGCAGGACCAGCAGAAGCAAAAGGAUUAGGAGGCAUUGUUAACUUGUUUCCUUCCCCCUCCAGCAUUUGAACUACAGCUUCCAUUGAGGGACGACCCACAGGGUGCCACUGGAUGCACCAGAGUCCUACAAUUAUAAGUUUUUUUGCAAUUUGUUCAUCAUUCUCUUCCUUGAUCUGGAUUCUUAACUCUUCUCCUUUAUCCAGACGGUUGUAUACCCACUCCGGAAAGUAGACUUGGCUGGCUUCUGUAAAGUCUUUAUUUUUCCUCCCUCUAACCAUGUCUAGUAAGACCAUUCCAAAACUAUAGACAUCUGACUUGUAGGACACAUUGCCAAAGUUCCUAGAGAAUACUUCAGGUGCAAUGUAGCCUAUUGUCCCCCGAGCUGUAGUCAUGGAAAUGGCACUCUGAUCCUUGGAGCAUAACUUGGCCAGACCAAAAUCAGAAAUCUUGGGAUUGAAACUUUCAUCCAACAAGAUGUUGUGAGGCUUGAUGUCAAAAUGCAAAAUCUGCAUAUCACAACCUCUAUGAAGAUAUUCAAUUCCACGAGCAAUGCCUAAAGAAAUUUCAUACAUUCUUUCACAACUCAAAGCAACUUCUUUUUUCCCCGAAAAGAUGUAUUUCUCAAGAGAUCCAUUACACAUAAAUUCAUAUAUGAGAGCACGCUUGGAUCUUUCAGCACAAAAUCCAAGAAGCCGCACUACAUUGUUGUAAUGAAUUUUCCCCAAUAGUUAUAACUUCAUUGAUAAAUUCUUGCCCAUUAGCUUUGGACUUGCCCAAUAUCUUUAUUGUUACAGUUUUCCCACUUCCAGGUAUUCCUUUGUAUACUAAACCAAAGCCUCCUUCACCUAACUUAUCCUUAAAACCCCUAAUCAUCUUCUUGAUAUUUAAUUACAAGACGGGCAUGUGAUUAUUGUUACUUCGAGGGAAAUCUUCAACCUUUUCAUACACUGAUAAAUGUUUGCUUCGCCAUUUUAUGAUUAAGAAUGUGGUGAUGCGUGGCGUUUGACAUACACAUCUUAGUAAUGCUGCAGAGGUAAGGUGCAACUGUAAAAUGUUUAUAGUUACAUUAAUCAUAAUUAAAAUCUAAAAAAUUAAAUCAAAAUUAUAAACAGCUUUUUAUAAGUAUUUUUUUAAAAAUAUUGUUUAUAUUUUAAUGCCAAAUACAGUAAAAUUAUUGCUAUAAAAAUGAACAAAGACAGCUGAUCUUACUGAUGAUGGAAAAUACAUAACAAACUAAAACUGCAAAAACAAAAAUAAAAUGAAUAAUUUUUUGUCAAGAACAUAAUGAAUCAUUUGAAAAGUCAUAUUAUUUCAAUAAAUUAUAAAUGAGAUUAGUAAAAGAGAUGAAAGUACUCACUGCAGGCCAGGCAAAGCAUGAUAUGCAGAAAAUUGAAGGAAUCAGCAACACGGAUUGCCUGCACGUAGCAGUACAUUCCCGAAGAGAACUUUAAUACUGUGUUAUUUUUCUCACAGGUCUGAAGAUAGUAGGGUCACCGCAAUUAUUUGGGUCCCCUUCUACUCCAAAGGGAUAGGAAAUGUUCUCUAAAUUGCCACGAGAAGGGUUUUAUCACAGCGAUGGAUUUUCUUUACUCAACAAGUUACACUAAAUAGGAAGAAAAAAGAAAGGAUUGGAUAACUUGCAGAGAGGACCCUGAACAUGGCAACUGAUAUGGAUUCAAAAUUGCAGGUAGGCUAUAAUGGACCUGGGCCACUGAGAGUAUAUUCUAGAAGGAAGAUCAAAGAAAAUGCUAAAGGUAUGGCUGUUGAGCUAGACGAUUCU
rnacentral:misc_RNA from 1 species